GUAGUGACAAAAACAGCCACUGCAAAUACACCAGCUAGGUUCAAACCACCAUAGACCAGUGCAAUGGGACAGGCGUGCACUCCACUCAGGUUCUCCGGGCAACGAGUGGACGGAAGAAAAUCCUCAGUAUGGGCCUACCAGAUUUGAACAAGGGCACGGAUGGGACAGAAACAAAGAGAUAAAAACCCCCAUCUGGAUGGUGAACUCCCUAUACCAGAAGUAAAGCAACACUCUUAUCAUCAGAGACCUGGGGUAGAGGCCAAGAAAAAUCAGUACAAAUAAGGCUUGUUAAACUAACCCUUAUCUUCCUAGCCACUUUUCCACCACUAACUGCCUUACCCCAAGCUCCUCUGUCUUGUCACAUUUUCAUAACUUACUUCUCUUUG